rnacentral:rRNA from 1 species
UACGUAGGGACCGAGCGUUGUCCGGAAUCAUUGGGCGUAAAGAGCGUGUAGGCGGCCACUUAAGUCCUGCGUGAAAUCUUGCGGCUCAACCGCAAGCGGUCGUGGGAAACUGGGUGGCUAGAGUGCGGGAGAGGAGAGUGGAAUUCCUGGUGUAGCGGUGGAAUGCGCAGAUAUCAGGAAGAACACCCGUGGCGAAGGCGGGUUUCUGGAACGCAACUGACGCUGAGACGCGAAAGCGUGGGGAGCAAACAGG